GACGAACGCUGGCGGCGUGCUUAACACAUGCAAGUCGAACGGUGAGGCCCUGCUUUUGUUGGGUGCUCGAGUGGCGAACGGGUGAGUAACACGUGAGUAACCUGCCCCUGUCUUUGGGAUAACUCCAGGAAACUGGGGCUAAUACCGGAUAUGCGCUCCUGCUCCAUGGUGGGGGGUGGAAAGGUUCGGCGGUUGGGGAUGGACGCGCGGCGUAUCGGCUGGUUGGUGGGGGAGUGGCUGCCCAAGGCUUGGUCGGGUAGCCGGCCUGGGAGGGUGGCCGGCCACAUUGGGCCUAAGAUACGACCCAGACUCGUACGGGGGGAAGUUGUGGGGAGUGUGGAACAAUGGGCGGACGCCGGAUGCAGAGGGGCGGCGUGCGUGAUGUUGGGAUCCGGGUUGUAAACCGCUUUCGCCUGUAACGUAGUGGUAGUGACGGUAGUGGGUAAAGAAGCACCGGCUAACUACGUG
rnacentral:rRNA from 1 species